AGGGUCCACCUUAUAUGUCUAAAAUCUUUAUUAAAAAUGUUAACGUCAUACAUUUUUCAUAGAAAGGUGUUGGGUUCUACAAGGCGUGCAAUCUAUUUUGUACUAUCAUUGAUUUAAAUUUGACUGACAAUAUUUUUUGUAUGGUGGGCCGCUAGAGGUUAAUUGUGCUUUUUUGCAUAUGAGAGCGGCCAGGAAUAUUUAGCAGUAGGUGCGGCCAAGUGCGAGUCGGACUCGCCCAUGAAGGGUUCCGUACCAUUUCUGACGUAUUAAAAAAAACUUCUUACUAGAUCUCGUUCAAACCAAUUUUCGGUGGAAGUUUGCAUGGUUAUGUAUAUCAUAUAUUUUUUAGUUUUAUCAUUCUGUUAUUUUAGAAAUUAUAGGGGGGGGGGGGCACACAUUUUAUCACUUUGGAAGUGUCUCUCGCGCAAACUAUUCAGUUUAGAAAAAAAUGAUAUUAGAAACCUCAAUAUCAUUUUUGAAAACCUAUCCAUAGAUAUCCCACACUUUCAAUGAAAAUGGUUCAAUGAAAAAAAAAUUUGAGUCUCCGUUCUAAAUAUGGGGAACCCCCAAAAUUUAUUGUUUUUUUAAAAGUACUAACUAGAUCUCGUUCAAACCAAUUUUCGGUGGAAGUUUGCAUGGUAAUGUACAUCAUAUAUUUGUUUUAGUUUUGUCAUUCUCUUAUUUUAGAAGUUACAGGGGGGGGGGGGGACCCAUUUUAUCACUUUGGAAGUAUCUCUCGCGCAAACUAUUCAGUUUAGAAAAAAUGAUAUUAGAAACUUCAAUAUCAUUUUUGAAGACCUAUCCAUAGAUACCCCACACGUAUGCACGUACCUACGGGUUUGAUGAAAAAAAAUUUUUUUUGAGUUUCAGUUCUAAGUAGGUAUGGGGAACCCCCAAAAUUUAUUGUUUUUUUUUUUUUCAUUUUUGUGUGAAAAUCUUAAUGCGGUUCACAGAAUACAUUUACUUACCGAGUUUCAAGAGUAUAGUUCUUAUAGUUUCGGAAAAAAGUGGCUGUGACAUACGGACGGAUAGACAGACAGACAUGACGAAUCCAUAAGAGUUCCGUUUUUUGCCAUUUGGCUACGGAACCCUAAAAA